GAUGAAGAACGUAGCGAAAUGCGAUAAGUAAUGCGAAUUGCAGAAUUCAGUGAGUCAUCGAAUCUUUGAACGCACAUUGCGCCCUGUGGUAUUCCGCAGGGCAUGCCUGUUCGAGCGUCAUUUCAACCCUCAAGCUCUGCUUGGUGUUGGGCCCUGCCCGCUGCGGCCGGCCCUAAAGACAGUGGCGGUGCCGCCUGGCCCUGAGCGUAGUACAUCUCUCGCUCCAGUGCCCGGUGGUAGCCUGCCAGAACCCCAACUCUCGUGGUUGACCUCGGUUCAGGUAGGGAUACCCGCUGAACUUAAGCAUAUCAAUAAGCGGAGGA
rnacentral:misc_RNA from 1 species